UGUUCAGUAUCAGUAUGUCAUUUGUACUUGCACUUUACACGUGGUUUCCCCAUAUGUUCAGGUUGGACUCUUCUGUUCCCUUUUACCUUGCAUGGAUUUUUGGAUUUGUACCUUGCCUGCUCCUUGUUUGAUUUGUUUGCCUGUCUUGGACUGCCUUCCCGAUUUGGACCUCUGCCUACCUGACUUUCCGUGGCUGUCAGAGCAUACAGUGCAAGAGGAGUUCAUGAUUUUGUGCAUAAUGGAGCUACAUGGGAGAUAGGAGGUCACAGGCAGACCAAACAGAGCAUUGCUACACUUUCAGGUCAUGUCCCCCUGGAAGGCUGCCUGCCAGCAAGACACUGAGAGUAAAUGGUGAAAGCCUUUAUGUCUGCUGAAGAAAUGGGAAGAUUUGACCACAUCCAUUGAAUACAAAUGAAGGACUUGAGGAGGAAAAAAUAUUUUAAAUAGAUAUUUAGCUCUUGCUCUUCAUCUGAGAUCUUAAACUGAUCCUGCCUUAUGACUGCCAGGUCUGACAGUUAUACAGAGGCCAAGCCUUGAACUUGAAUCAGCCAUCAUCAUUACUGGGCUGUUUGCAAACUCGGCAGUCCCUAAUGGUUCUAAAUUAGCUCUUUACUGCAGCCAUUCGAUGGACUUGGCAUAAGUAGUGUGGUCAGUGGUACAGAUUGAUCGCUCCUCUUUAAUUAAAGGGCUGACUCACUGCAAACUCUGCUCAACUUGCUACUUUUUUCUUAGGGAUAAUAAUGUAAUCCCUUUCAACACUUUCACAAAUUUGCAUUCUCCUGUGCAUGGAUAGUCAAGAACGCUGUCAGGACAGACACUGACAUUUGCACGUGUUUCAGUGAUUAGAGGUUUUAUGUAAAUCAAAGAUAACUAAUAACAAAUCAGUCACAAAGGAGUUUGUGCUUUUUUUUUUUGCUGUCUGUAUUAAUCAAAGAUGUAAGGUGUGUGUGGUUUCAAUAAAAUUUUACUUUAAAAUAGCCAGAUACAAAAGAUACAGCCAGUCCAUUACUUUUAUCAUUAGAAAGAGUUUGUUAGGGUUACUUUGACCCAUGGCUUCAUUAGAUCAUACUGUAAAUGUCAUGGUGGGUUAUAAGCUCCAAUUUUUUUUUUUUUUUUUUGAGGGAGAAAGUAACAUUACAUUAACCUAUCCCAAACCUAUCCCAGGCCCUUAGAUGGAUACUUCCACUAUUUUGUUUUAAGGCUGCUAAAAUUUUAUGGAGGUCCAUCACCUCACCCAGUGUGAGAUAAGACUGGAUUUAUUUAUGUAUAUCUCCAAAUCUACCAAUGCUAGACUUAUC